rnacentral:rRNA from 1 species
ACACAUGCAAGUCGAGGGGAAACGACAUCGAAAGCUUGCUUUUGAUGGGCGUCGACCGGCGCACGGGUGAGUAACGCGUAUCCAACCUGCCCACCACUUGGGGAUAACCUUGCGAAAGUAAGACUAAUACCCAAUGACGUCUCUAGAAGACAUCUGAAAGAGAUUAAAGAUUUAUCGGUGAUGGAUGGGGAUGCGUCUGAUUAGCUUGUUGGCGGGGUAACGGCCCACCAAGGCAACGAUCAGUAGGGGUUCUGAGAGGAAGGUCCCCCACAUUGGAACUGAGACACGGUCCAAACUCCUACGGGAGGCAGCAGUGAGGAAUAUUGGUCAAUGGACGAGAGUCUGAACCAGCCAAGUAGCGUGCAGGAUGACGGCCCUAUGGGUUGUAAACUGCUUUUAUAAGGGAAUAAAGUGAGUCUCGUGAGACUUUUUGCAUGUACCUUAUGAAUAAGGACCGGCUAAUUCCGUGCCAGCAGCCGCGGUAAUACGGAAGGUCCGGGCGUUAUCCGGAUUUAUUGGGUUUAAAGGGAGCGUAGGCCGGAGAUUAAGCGUGUUGUGAAAUGUAGACGCUCAACGUCUGCACUGCAGCGCGAACUGGUUUCCUUGAGUACGCACAAAGUGGGCGGAAUUCGUGGUGUAGCGGUGAAAUGCUUAGAUAUCACGAAGAACUCCGAUUGCGAAGGCAGCUCACUGGAGCGCAACUGACGCUGAAGCUCGAAAGUGCGGGUAUCGAACAGGAUUAGAUACCCUGGUAGUCCGCACGGUAAACGAUGGAUGCCCGCUGUUGGUCUGAAUAGGUCAGCGGCCAAGCGAAAGCAUUAAGCAUCCCACCUGGGGAGUACGCCGGCAACGGUGAAACUCAAAGGAAUUGACGGGGGCCCGCACAAGCGGAGGAACAUGUGGUUUAAUUCGAUGAUACGCGAGGAACCUUACCC